rnacentral:tRNA from 1 species
AGUACUACUAGUAUGUGCUACUAGUAUGUACUACUAGUACUAGUACUACGAGUAUGUACUACUAGUACUAGUACUAC